rnacentral:tRNA from 1 species
GGUGCCGUGGCCGAGUGGUUAGGCAGAGGUCUGCAAAACCUCGUAGACCGGUUCGAUUCCGGUCGGUACCUCCA